rnacentral:sRNA from 2 species
AUGUACCACGCGUCCACUGCGGUUGUGAGCGCGCCGUCCGCACCCACCUGACGAGUGCUCGCUACGUUUUGUUCGCC